UAAUAAGUCUAAGCGCUGCUAAGUUUGGGAAGCCUCAUCAGCUAAUUGGAGAUAUCCAGACUGGACCCUGCGGAGAAGGCAAUGGCAACCCACUCCAGUACUCUUUCCUGGCAAAUCCCAUGGACGGAGGAGCCUGGUGGGCUGCAGUCCAUGGGGUCGCUAGGAGUCGGACACGACUGAAGCGACUUAGCAGCAGCAGCAGCAGACUGGACCCUGAGUCAAGAGCUCCGAGGACGUUCCCCCACCCCCACCCAACGGCUGGAGUCAGAACGGGACUUCCCUGAUGGUCCAGAGGUUGGGAAUUUGCCUUGCAGUGUGGGGGCCAUGGGUUUGAUCCUUGGUCAAGGUACUAAGAUCCCACAUGCCACAG